AAAUAGUUAUUUGUACAACAAGAGAGCAAAGUACACAAGAUUUUUCACCUCAGCAGUAAGAACAUAUUUGGAAGGAAAAAUACAA